GACGAACGCUGGCGGCGUGCUUAACACAUGCAAGUCGAACGGAAAGGCCCUGCUUUUGUGGGGUGCUCGAGUGGCGAACGGGUGAGUAACACGUGAGUAACCUGCCCUUGACUUUGGGAUAACUUCAGGAAACUGGGGCUAAUACCGGAUAGGAGCUCCUGCUGCAUGGUGGGGGUUGGAAAGUUUCGGCGGUUGGGGAUGGACUCGCGGCUUAUCAGCUUGUUGGUGGGGUAGUGGCUUACCAAGGCUUUGACGGGUAGCCGGCCUGAGAGGGUGACCGGCCAGAUGGGGCGGGGGAGAGGGCCCAGACUCCCAGGGGGGGCAGGGGGGGGGAAUAUUGAAAAAGGGGCGGAAGCCGGAUGCAGCAACCCCGGGGGGGGGAUGGGGGCCUUCGGGUGGGAAACCGCUUUCGCCGUGGACGAAGGGUGAGGGGGGGAAAGGGGGAAAAAAGCACCGGCAAACUACGG
rnacentral:rRNA from 1 species